AAUGAACGCUGGCGGCGCGCCUAAUACAUGCAAGUCGAGCGAGAAGACGUAGCAAUACGUUUGUAAAGCGGCGAACGGGUGAGGAAUACAUGGGUAACCUACCCUCGAGUGGGGAAUAACUAGCCGAAAGGUUAGCUAAUACCGCGUACGCUCCUUGGACUUCGGUUCAGGGAGGAAAGCGAUACCGUGGGUAUCGCGCUCUUGGUUGGGCUCAUGUCCUAUCAGCUUGUUGGUGAGGUAACGGCUCACCAAGGCUUCGACGGGUAGCUGGUCUGAGAGGACGAUCAGCCACACUGGCACUGCGACACGGGCCAGACUCCUACGGGAGGCAGCAGUAAGGAUAUUGCGCAAUGGGCGAAAGCCUGACGCAGCGACGCCGCGUGGGGGA
rnacentral:rRNA from 1 species